rnacentral:lncRNA from 1 species
AAAUUAUGUAAAGGAAACCAAAUUGACAAGUCUACCAUUAGGGUUACCUUAGGCUAUAAAUAAAUAUGUCUCUCCAUGUAAAAAUCACCUUUGAAUUGAGUGUUGUUAUGUGUUAAAUUUGUGUCAUAUUAAUUAACUUAGGUUACCAAGGCUAGAACACCCCUUUUAGGUUUCUUCUAACCACUUUUUAUUUAAGAGUUGACUAAACUCUCUUGAAAACACUUAAGCACCACCAUAGUCUCUCCCCCUUGCUCGAGUCAUAUAGCUUGGAAGAGGUUAUUAUUUUAUCACGUCAAAACCACCACAUGCACAUCAUAUUUCUACCACCAUCAAGCUUUUGCAAACCAUCACCCAUUUGGGAG